rnacentral:rRNA from 1 species
UACGAAGGGGGCUAGCGUUGCUCGGAAUCACUGGGCGUAAAGGGCGCGUAGGCGGCUUGCCAAGUCGGGGGUGAAAGCCCGUGGCUCAACCACGGAAUGGCUUCGAUACUGGCAGGCUUGAGCACCGGCAAGAGGACAGCGGAACUGCGAGUGUAGAGGUGAAAUUCGUAGAUAUUCGCAAGAACACCAGUGGCGAAGGCUGUCAGCUCUNGGUCCGGUUCUGACGCUGAGGCGCGAAAGC